UGGAUGGAUGGAUGGAUGGAUGGAUGGAUGGAUGGAUGGAUGGAUGGAUGGAUGGAUGGAUGGAUGGAUGGAUGGAUGGAUAGAUAGGGAUAGCAUAACAUAGAUAGCUGAUAGAUAGAUAGAUAGAUAGAUAGAGAGAGAGUAUAUAUAUAAGUAGAUAAAAUGGUUUACUACUGUAUUUGCGGCGGGUGCAACAACUCCAGCAAAAGUGGACAUAGGGUCCAUUGCUUCCCGAAGGACAAAGGGAUCCUCCGAAGCUGGGUGCAAUUUGUCAAGGUUAGGUGGGCAGAUUUUUCAGCUAGCUCUGUUACCCCGUACUCAAGAAUAUGCAGCGAGUAUUUCCAGGAGGAGGAUUACCACUCGGGGGAUGCCAAGAUGGUCUCACUUGGUUUGAAGAAUAAGAGGACGGCGAAGUUAAUUCCUACCGCCGUGCCGUCUGUGCAUGCAAACCACUCUGCCUGGCCUGUCCCGAGGUCGAGAGACACCGUCUGCCGCAAGCGAGAGAUUGCCACGGUAAGCAUCAUGCUAUAGCUGCUAAUUACAAGCUGCGCGUUAGCUAGCUCUGUGUGUAUUUUGCAUACCGUGUUCCCUUUGACACAGCCUCCACUACAAGCAUGAUCAGUCUGACAUUAGAAGAGCAUGUUUCGUGAUUGACGAAUAUGAGCCAAAACAAAAUUGCCCUGAAGUAAAUGUCCAUAUCGUCAUGAAAGCUUCAUGGCUAGUGUUUGGAUCAGUGAUCGUCAUCAUCAAGCGGCUUUCACAACAGUGUGUUUGCGUUUUGUGUUAGUGCUAGACUGCUACGGUUCUCUUUCACAUAUAUUUGACCGUGAUUUCAUUUUUAUAUACUUAUAUAUACUAUACUUUGAUAGACUCCUCACAGCAGGAGACCGUGGCCAGUGUAGACACUGUGGAGAAUGUCGAUACUGGGGAUCGGCCCUUGCCCUCCUCCACUUCUGACGCUGGGACACAAUGUUAUUUGAAGCCCCCCCGAUGGUCUCACGGUAAAUCUUUGGUAUUUUAAGGGGUAGAUAUUAUGUCUAAAACAUUGCAAGCAGGACAUUUCCAUACACAUUGAUGUAAUUAAUACAUAGCCUACACCAAAACAUAGCCGCUUAGAUUUGCAAUGAUUGUCAUAUGUUUGGGUAUGUUUACUGCCUCUGCCACAGCUGUGCAGGUUAACCUGAAGCCCAAGAUGGUUAGCAUGGGCACACAGACUUUAUUCAGCCAACACACCUCCACUCCCCACGCUAGUCCUGAACAGACAGUUGACGAUGAUGAUGGUAAUGCCACUGUCAUCAGUGACUUUUCGUGGGUGCCCGAAGAGCCGAUGGAUGAGGAGGAGUUGUUUGAUGAGGAGCCACCUUACACGUGUGACCCCCACCACAAUUGCAUUGACAAAUUCAUUGUUUGCCAAGAGGAGCUGAUGGGCCUUUUUGCCAUCUGUCCGGCCUGUUGUGAGAGGUCGGAUAGUAGCAUCGUGCAGCAGGAAGGAACUUUUGUUAAGAUCAAGCAGGUACAGUUUUGUUUACGCGGCCAUCUGAUUAGAAAAUCAGAAUAUCUAAUUACAAUCUGAUAGCUCUGACCGUCUCGCCAGUUAAUUUACAAUGUAUGUACCAGGCUGGCUUUAGUCUGCUGGUUUGUGAUGCCAUCAUAUUUGAGUGUUAUACUGUAUUGGUCAUGUGUGUUUCAUUGAAAAUAUGAAACCUUUUACCAGUAUUGUAAAGUACUUACUCUAUAUUGAAUCCUGAUAUACUGUUGAUUACUCUGUUUUCUUUUCUUUUCUUUUCUUACAUAUCUAGGUCUGUGCAUCAUGUGGCUACCACCGUUUCUGGCAAAACCAGCCAAUGCUCCACAGGAACAUGCCAACCUGCAACCUCCUGUUAAGUGGGGCCAUUCAAUUACUGGAUGUUUGGCCACACAGACACUAAGAAUGUUGGCCCUGUUUGGCCUGCAGUGCAUCAGUGCCAGCAGUUUCUUUCGCCAUCAGCGCCGCUACACCAUCCCUGUAAUCGUUCAGGCCUGGCAGAAUGAUCAAGCCAAGAAUUUUAGUGACCUACGGGCAAUGGAUGGAGGGCUAGUUCUUGCUGGUGACUGCAGGUAAACCAGUGUGAGAGCUAGACCAGUUCCACGUUUUGAUUUUGUUAUUUGUUAUCAUGUAGGGUGGCUUUAGUUGGCAUUUGCAGAGGACAUGGUGGAUUGUCUUUACAGACCAUGGUUUUAAAAACUUGAAACACAAAUUGUAAUUAAUUUAAGGUCAGAUUCUCCUGGGCACUGCGCAAAGUAUGGGUCAUACUCUCCGAUAGAGGACAGAGUGAACAAGGUGGUGGAUGUUCAGCUUGUUCAGAGCUCAGAGGUCCCCAACAGCUCAUGGUGUGAGCUUGAAGGGCUCAAGCGCAGUGUUGGCCUGCUGGAAACAACCUGCAUUUGGCAACGCUGAUCACGG